GCCCAUAUAGCUCAGUAGGUAGAGCACUUCCUUGGUAAGGAAGAGGUCACCGGUUCAAAUCCGGUUAUGGGCU
rfam:Methyloglobulus morosus KoM1 MGMO_88c, whole genome shotgun sequence.